AAUAAGUGCAUCCGAGCUAAAUUGUCACGUUUGUUCCGCUACAUUCCAGCCUCUACCAAACAAACAAACUGUCAUACAGCCCAUAAUACAGCCAACAUUAUAUUAUGGGUCAUGUUUACGAUGUACGAGUUUUUUUAAGUGUCGUAAGGUAAAUAAAGACGUAGAAGCUCUGUGCUGCGUUCACGUGUUGAUCACCACGUCAGACAUCGAGCAGUUGCCAUGGCAACUAGAGGUUUGACUGACCACUCAUCAACUAGCAUCAUGACUGAGCGCUGGAUACUUUCUGUUAAAAAAAAAAAAAGAACUACACUCUUCAUGAUGAAUUCACGGUUUUACAUUUACGUCAGUUUUACUUUUACGGGAGGUACGUGAAGGCAACAGAUGGUGCGUGAUGACGACAGCAAACAUGGCGGACGUGUCUUUGCGAGCAGAGCUGCAGCUCAAAGACGGACAGAGACAGAAAAUCAGCGUUCAACUUCAAAACACACUUUGUUCUCUCGUGUGUGGAAUUAACGAGCUGAACGUGAACGUUUCACAGCUACUCACUCAGCUAGUGGACAGAGAAAAAGACACUCGACACUGCGAAGAAGGUGAUGAAGAGGAGGAUAGUGAUGAAGAGGAGUCACUGUGUCAGCGUCCUCCAGUGAAAAGACUGAAACCCUGAAAUACCUGCUGUCGACUGUCAGAUCAGUGAAAUCAAAUAAAGGCGUCUUCUUGUUCGUCUGAUCACUCUCCGUUUUUAAAUUGUCCUCUGAUGACAAACCUGGCAACACAAGGAUGGACAUAUUAGAGAGGACAGAUUAGAGCAGGCCGAGGACAGAGAAGAGCAGGGCGAGGACAGAGAAGAGCAGGCCGAGGACAGAUUACAGCAGGUAGAGGACAGAUUACAGCAGGUAGAGGACAGAUUACAGCAGGUAGAGAAGAGAUUACAGCAGGUUAAGGACAGAUAAGAGCAGGCCGAGGACAGAGAAGAGCAGGUAGAGGACAGAUUACAGCAAGUAGAGGACAGAUAAGAGCAGGUAGAGGACAGAUAAGAGCAGGUCGAGAAAGCACCUUAAACAUUGUGGUCAC